GAUUAUCUGGUCAGUGAAAUCUUUAUAAAGCAUUUACAAUAGUGCAGAAUUUUGUGUGGCAGUUUAAGUAAGUGUGCACCCUAUGAGGAGUCAAGGAAGGUCUUGAUGUGACGCAGGCAGAAACUCCCUAAAAGAUUCAGCGCAUGGACUCAGGAGAGGGCAGCCAGAGAUGGCCGUGAGAAUGCUAAAGAAGAAAAAUUACAUGAUUGUGAAGAAAACUACAUAUAUCUAGAAUGUAUAAAGAACUCUCAGAACUCAACAAUAAGAAAACCAGUAAUUCAGUUUAAAACUGGUCAAAAGAUUUAAAUGGAUGCUUUAUUAAAGAAGAUAUUUGGAUAGUAAAUAAGCAUAUGAGAAGAGGCUGAACAUAGUCAGUGGGAAAAUGCAAAUUAAAACCACAGAGACUUCAGAAAGCUGGAUCUUGAAAGAUGAGCUGAAGUAAGCAAAGAAGAAUAAAAAGGGGUGCAGAGGGUGGAAGUUGCUCAAAUGGCUGGGACACCUGUGCUAUGAAUGGGGAGAUGUUGCCAGAGACAGGGUGAAACCAGAUAAUAAAACACUGUAUGCCCCCAUGAAGGAGCUUAUUUAACAAGCAAGAACAUGGCAAGGUCAGGUUUAUAAGGAUCUCCCUGGCAGCUCUGUGGAGGAUGGGUUUGAAGAAGAUGGACCUGGAGGACUGGAGACUGGUUGGCAGAAUUUCUGAAACAUUUCAGGUAAGAGGAAGAAAGUGGCUUGACCUGGACAGAAGUUAGGGAAAAGACAGAUUCAAGAUACAUCUGAAAUCAACUGGACACUAAGUGCUGAACAAAGCCCAGAUGAAGUACAGCUCCAUUUACCCAGACUUCUGAUCUAAAUACGAUAAUUAGUUAUUAUAU
rnacentral:lncRNA from 10 species